rnacentral:misc_RNA from 1 species
UCCCCUCCUUCACCUGAACUGAAAGUGAACCAACAACGUGACCAGGCACCAAUUCCCAAAAACGAGCUUGAGACACUUCACUAACAUCUUCACGAGCAGUAACCUGUCUUAGGCAUUUGCUCAAUGCAGAAGAAUGAAUGCUAGGUGGCGCCAUUUGAAGUAGGAUGCCAGCAGUAGAUUUAAAGAGUGGCAUGAUAAGCAUAAAAACUGCAACCGAGACUAGUCCCAAACACAAGACUUCAGCAUUGUCAACCCCGAGGGACAAAAACCAGGAUGCCAAUAUCAAACCUGCACU